rfam:Triticum aestivum genome assembly, contig: Triticum_aestivum_CS42_TGACv1_scaffold_576885_7BL
CACGGUCUCCCUUCGUCCCGAAAUACUUGUCGGAGAAAUGGAUAUAUCUAGAUGUAUUUUAGUUCUAGAUAGAUCCAUUUUUAUGCAUUUCUACGACAAUUAUUUCCAGACGGAAGGAGUAGUAA